UCGCGAAUCAUUCACAAUGGACGCAAGUCUGAUGAUGCCACGCCGCGUGCGGGAUGAAGGCCCUCGGGUUGUAAACCGCUUUUGUCAGGGAAGAAACGCUCUGGGCUAAUACCCUGGGGUAAUGACGGUACCUGAAGAAUAAGCACCGGCUAACUACGUGCCAGCAGCCGCGGUAAUACGUAGGGUGCAAGCGUUAAUCGGAAUUACUGGGCGUAAAGCGUGCGCAGGCGGUUAUGCAAGACAGAUGUGAAAUCCCCGGGCUCAACCUGGGAACUGCAUUUGUGACUGUAUAGCUAGAGUACGGUAGAGGGGGAUGGAAUUCCGCGUGUAGCAGUGAAAUGCGUAGAUAUGCGGAGGAACACCGAUGGCGAAGGCAAUCCCCUGGACCUGUACUGACGCUCAUGCACGAAAGCGUGGGGAGCAAACAGGAUUAGAUACCCACGUAGUCCCUGAGCGGGCUGGCAAGGCGCAU
rnacentral:rRNA from 1 species